rnacentral:rRNA from 1 species
GACGAACGCUGGCGGCGUGCCUAAUACAUGCAAGUCGAACGCAGUGGGGACGGGUGAGUAACACGUGGGUAACCUCCCAUCAGAGGGGAUAACACUUGGAAACAGGUGCUAAACCGAUACUGAUGGAUGGACCCGCGGUGCAUUAGCUAGUUGGUGAGGUAACGGCGCACCAAGGCCACGAGGCAUAGCCGGCCUUGUGGGAUGAUCAGCCACACGGGGACUGGGACACGGCCCAGACUCCAACGGGAGGCCGCAGUAGGGAAUCUUCGGCAAUGGACGAAAGUCUGACCGAGCAACGCCGCGUGAGUGAAGAAGGUUUUCGGCUCGUAAAACUCUGUUGUUAGAGAAGCGGUAUCUAACCAGAAAGCCACGGCUAACUACGUGCCAGCAGCCGCGGUAAUAC